UGCCAGACUCCUACGGGAGGCAGCAGUGGGGGAUAUUGCACAAUGGGGGAAACCCUGAUGCAGCGACGCCGCGUGAGUGAAGAAGUAUUUCGGUAUGUAAAGCUCUAUCAGCAGGGAAGAAGAAAGACGGUACCUGAGUAAGAAGCCCCGGCUAACUACGUGCCAGCAGCCGCGGUAAUACGUAGGGGGCAAGCGUUAUCCGGAUUUACUGGGUGUAAAGGGAGCGUAGACGGUAUGGCAAGUCUGAAGUGAAAGCCCCGGGCUCAACCUGGGAACUGCUUUGGAAACUGUUAAACUAGAGUGCUGGAGAGGCAGGCGGAAUUCCUAGUGUAGCGGUGAAAUGCGUAGAUAUUAGGAGGAACACCAGUGGCGAAGGCGGCCUGCUGGACAGUAACUGACGUUGAGGCUCGAAAGCGUGGGGAGCAAACAGGAUUAGAUACCCUGGUAA
rnacentral:rRNA from 1 species